rnacentral:rRNA from 1 species
ACAAUGGAGAGUUUGAUCCUGGCUCAGGAUAAACGCUAGCGGCAGGCCUAACACAUGCAAGUCGAGGGGCAGCGCGAGGAGUAGCAAUACUUUUGGCGGCGACCG